rnacentral:rRNA from 1 species
UCCCAGCGCUCCGAGUCGCAGCCACAAUUAUUGGGUCUAAAACAUUCGUAGCUUGUUUUGUAAGUUCCUUGUGAAAUCUUAGCUCUUAAGGUUAAGGCGUGCAAAGAAUACUGCUUAACUUGGGACCGGAAGAAGUAAGAAGUAUGGUUUAGGUAGCGGUAAAAUGUGUUAAUCUUUACCAGACUAACAACAGCGAAGGCAUCUUACUAGUACGGAUCUGACAGUGAGGAAUGAAGGCUAGGGUCGCGAAAAG